UUUUUUUUUUUGCAGCGAUUGGGUAACAGGUAAACCACCCAAGUCUUUUAUGAGGAGACUUUUGCUAGGCAUUGUGUUACGUUCAUUCAACUCAUAAUGUUUUGAUCAAUCAUUUGGUUAAAAAUCUUUAACAGUAAAGCAUUCACAAAAGCAUUCUUCCAGAGUGGACGUUCACCUCUAGGGCAUUGGAUGAAUGCCUUGUCCAGUUUUGGGGGCAGUCAGUAGUUAAAAACGUUGAAACGGUUUUUCAGAAUUGUUUUCGGAAGGGAGAGCACGUCCUCGCGCAAGUUCUCCGCUGCCCUGCCCUGCCACUCCCGACUCCUGCUAGGCAUUCUUGCUCGGGAGGGGCAGAAGAAGGGUACAAGGCGCAGACAACACUGGUGGAUAUUAUAACGAAAGGAGUUCCACCUUCCACUCUACCGCCGAACAAAGUGAGACAUGGACAGGCUAGGGGCUCUCUGAAAGCUAGACACCAAGUCGGUGACAGACGCAGGGCGGGGAAGUCGGAUCGAGUUUGAAACAAUGUACACUGGGCGUCACUCCGAACCCGAGCUUCCUUCAGCUCUCCCAGCUCUUUCCGAGCGCUAGGCCCAUCUGGCCCUGCGCUGAUCUCCGGGCUUUGUCGCGCACCUGGCAUAAACCGUGACGACAGCCCUGCGGAAAUGCACGAGUGGCCUUCUCCUCAGCCAGGGUUAAGCUUCAACCACUGGAGAGAGAUGCCCAAUGCCACAUUGGGUCCUCUGAAAAGCAGAUGCCAAGAUGGAGUUACAAGUCCAGAGAUCUAUUGUGGGUAAUGAUUAAGAAGAUAAAGAGGAAGAGCAGGAGUAGGCAGGGGAGAAUUCAGACCAUAGUACAGGUCGGACACUUAUUAAAGGAGAGGAAAUUAAGGAGGAAUGGGUACAAAAUGCCUCAGACUGCAGUGCAACUCUGUGGAAUUUCCAGCCAGCCCAACUGGGAACUCUAGAGCAAAGAUUACUAAUUAUAAGAAUCCCACAUUGAGCAUAAAUGUUCCUAAUAUCCCUUCUGUGCUCAGAAAUUGACUGGAGAUGCCUGGGAUGGGUAUGGCCUUGGGUAAAAUGAUGCAAAAAUAUCCCAAAGUGCUACAGCUGGAGGCUGUUGUCUAACUCCACUGCCCACAGUAGAUUUUCUCUUGAAAGAAAAUCUGAAAGGCACCUGCCACAGACACUGGGAGAGGGAUUCAUCAUCAAGCUUUAAGUCAUCAAGACCAAUUAACUGUAGUUAAGUGACUGAUGUCAUAUUAUAGUAAAGGACAGUUUUCAAGAGUGACCAACCAUCCCAGUUUGCCUGAGACUGAGAGAUUCCCUAAAGAUUUUCCUAAAACUAUGAUACUCCAAGGUAAACUGGGAUGGUUGCUUUUCCUAGUGUUAAUAGGCAUGGGAAGGGCAUUUAAGAUAAUCUUAUAGGAUUUUAAACUGUAUGAACAAUUGCAUCUUACUGCAUUUUAUGGAGGAAAUUCUCUGGUAUAGUGGUUUUAUUAGAUUAGGGGAACUUAUGAGGGUCUCAGAACUAUUCCCAUGAAAAUGCCAAAGGUUUCAUAUUUUAUUUCUUGUCAUGUUCACUCUCUUGUGCAUUUAUACAUGCCUAGUCCAUCUAGAAAGUUUCUCUCACUGAAACCUGCUUACCCUUCUUACCACUGUUAGAGAGAAAUGCCUCUUCCCCAAUGCUUUGUUUUCUACAAGGAAGGAUUUCCCCAAAUAAGGAUUAAGUCACAUAAUAAAUUCUAAGCAACUAUCAUAGAGCAUGACAUAAAGUAACAGCUUGCGUCAGUCAGGACUCUUAGCUGCAUGCAACAGAAGCUGAAUCUGCAUGAUUUAAACAAAGGAAAGUUUAAUAAAUUUAUAUUGUUAAUGGCACCAGACUAGCACUCAUGCUAUUACAGAAAUCAUAAAACUGCAUAAUAUAUGCAAAGAAACUGUUUACAGGCAUUAACUGCAUAAUAUAUGCCAAGAAACUGUUUACAGGUAUUGAACAAUAGUCAGCACAUGACUGUGAUUUACAUUAGAAGAGAAACUCACAAGGUAAGCCCCCAGGAUCACUCCAUUCUUUGCCUGGUGUCAAUUUUCUGACGCCAACAUAGAAAGCUGCAUUCCAAGAUGAGUUUAGCAUUCUCACUAACCUCAGGAGGCAAGGAUCAGAGUUCAGAGCAGCUAACCAAAUUAAAUCCAUGGAACAAGACAUUAGAGAAGACAAAGCUGUGAAGAUGUUUGAAUGUCUUGGGGUUUCCAACAAAUCUUUAAAAAUAGGGAAAAUAGAACUUACACUUCUUGGUUUCAAGACUUCUGUAAAACUACACUUAUCAAAACAGUAUGAUAUUGUAGACAAAUAAGUCAAUGGAACAGAUUAGAAUCCAGUAAUAUACCUACACAUAUAUGGCCAUUCAUUCAUUCAUUGAUUCAUUUAUUUUGGGGGGUUUGUUCAACCAUUAACCAAUCAAAGAACAUCUGGGCUGUUUCCAGUAUUUUUCUACUGUGAAUAAAGUUGCUAUGAACAUUCAUGUACAGGUUUUUGUGUAAACACAAGUUCUAAUUAUUCUGGGCUAAAUAUCCCUGAGUAUAAUUGCUGGGUUAUGUGGUAGUUACAUGUUUAAUAUUUUAAGAUACAACCAAAGUGUUUUCCAGAGUGUUUUCCAAAGUGUAAAACAUUUUACAUUCUCACCAGUGAUGCAUGAGAGAUCCAUUUUCUGUGCAACCUUUCCAACACUUUAUAUUGCCAGUAUUUUUCAUUUCAGCUUUUCUGAUAGGUCUAUAAUGAUAUCUCAUUGUGGUUUUAAUUUGCAUUUCCCUGAUGACUAAUGAUAUUGAGCAAAUUUUCAUGUGCUUACUUACUAUAUGUGUAUUAUCUUCAGUGAAAUGUCUCUUCAUGUUUUUUGCUUGGAUUUUUUUUAUGGUUGAAUUUUGAGAGCUCUUUGUAUGUUUAAGAUACUAAUCCUUUGUUGGGUACUUGAGUUACAAAUAUUUUCUCCCCUUUCUGUUGCUUGUCUCUUUCAUUCUUUUGAGUAUUCUAUAGAGUAAAAGUUUUGAAUUUCAAUGAGGUCUAAUUUGUCAGCAUUUCUUUUGUUGCCUAUGCUUUAGGUGUUAAAGUUUAAGAACUCUUUGCCCAGGCCUAUAUCCCAAAUAUUAUCACAUGUUUUAUCUGAGAGUUUUAUAGUUUCAUGUUUUGCAUUAAAGUUCAUGAUCCAUUUUGAGUAAUUUUUGUAAGGUGUAAGUUAAGUUGAGGUUCAUAUUUUUGCCUAUGGAUGUCCAGUUGCCCCAGGACAAUUGCUUGAAAGUCUGUCCCUUGCAGGGCUGGUUCAAUAUACACAAAUCAAUCAAUGUGACACAUCACAUUAAUAAAAGAAAGGACAAGAACCACAUGAUCCUCUCAAUAGAUGCAGAGAAAGCAUUUGACAAAAUACAGCAUCCUUUCUUGAUAAAAACUUUCAAGAAAGUAAGGAUAAAAGGAUCAUACCUCAAGAUCAUAAAAUCCAUAUAU